UACGAAGGGGGCUAGCGUUGUUCGGAAUCACUGGGCGUAAAGCGCACGUAGGCGGAUCUUUAAGUCAGGGGUGAAAUCCCGAGGCUCAACCUCGGAACUGCCUUUGAUACUGGGGAUCUCGAGUCCGGGAGAGGUGAGUGGAACUGCGAGUGUAGAGGUGAAAUUCGUAGAUAUUCGCAAGAACACCAGUGGCGAAGGCGGCUUACUGGUCCGGUACUGACGCUGAGGCGCGAAAGCUAGGGGAGCAAACGGG
rnacentral:rRNA from 1 species